ensembl:snRNA U1 U1 spliceosomal RNA
AUACUUACCCAGCAGGGGAGAUACCAUGGUCAUGAAGGUGGUUUUCCCAGGGCGAGGCUCAUCCAUUGCACUCCGGUUGUGCUGACCCCUGUGAUUUCCCCAAAUGUGGGAAACUUGACUGCAUAAUCUGUGGUAGUGGGGGACUGCGUUUGCGCUUUCCCCUG